rnacentral:rRNA from 1 species
AGCAGCCGCGGUAAUUCCAGCUCCAAUAGCGUAUAUUAAAGUUGUUGCAGUUAAAAAGCUCGUAGUUGAAUUUCGGGAUUAGUGCGCCGGUCGUGCCUUCGGUAUGUACUGGUGUUACUGGUUCCUACCUUCUGACGAACCGUCAUGUCAUUAAUUUGGUGUGGCGAGGAAUCAGGACUGUUACUUUGAAAAAAUUAGAGUGUUUAAAGCAGGCUCGCGCUUGAAUACAUUAGCAUGGAAUAAUGAAAUAGGACGUUCGAUCCUAUUUUGUUGGUUUU